UGAAAUUGGGGCGUUUCCAAUACUGGGGGGUGUUUCAUAAAGCUUUUGACUUACGACUAUAACAAAUCUGGUAUCUAUGACAAAUCUGAUUACGACUAUCGUAGCUUGUUAUUGAAGUAAAAAUCCGUUUCAUAAAACUAAUAACAAAGUGAUCGUUUAAAAAACGAUCAUUACGAUUAUGCGCGUGCGCAAUAGCUCCAUUGUGCUUUGCCGUCGUCUGCAAUCACCGUGACAAUGAACCCAACUUUGGUGCUUGAAAUGUUUUUUUUCAUAGAAAUCCCGAAAAUGUACAGAGAGACUUGUCGCAGUACCAAAUGCUUGCCUCCUCUGAGUAUGUGCUUGAAACAAGAAUUUCCUGGAGAAAACAGACCGUCACAAGAGAAGGAAUUGAGAAGGAGGGCUUCCUGUCAAGAGAUCAUGGGGUGCCUUGAGGUUCCAGCCUUGAAUUUCUGCUCUUUACCUCUAAGCGAUGGCCUCUUGUAGGAGCAAAGCACAAUGGACUGGUGCCUGUACAUGUUAUGCAGAAGCUCAUGAUGAUAUGGUAGACAAGACAAGGACCUUGCUGUCUAAAGCUCAGAGACCAGAUGACAGUGUCUGAACCAGCUUGUCAGAAUUGGUUACAAAGAUGCAAGUGGACUUGUCUUCAGAAGUAGCUAAAGAGGAGCAGUCAGCCGAAGGAGCACGCAACUCCAAAACAAUGUGGAUACUGGAUACUUCUCUCAAGUUCAUCUGUAAUCAGACAUGGCUCUUCAGGAAUCAAGAUGAGACAGUGGAGGUAGAGGAGUUUGUGACCCUCCUGACUGUGGACUACUUGCAUUAUACAUGUAGCACUACUGCACAAAACUCGACCAGUUAUGCUUGAGCAAAUCGUAACAAACACUUGUUGAAGCAUUGAUUUAUGUAACUGGUAUUAUAGCCAUAUAGGUAGAGUUAAGCUUCUAAAUUUGAUAAGAAACUUUGUCCCAAAAGAACCGCAAGCUGCGAUCCCCC